rnacentral:rRNA from 1 species
UUACACAUGCAAGUCGAGCGGGGGAGGUUACUUCGGUAACUGACCUAGCGGCGGACGGGUGAGUAAUGCUUAGGAAUCUGCCUAUUAGUGGGGGACAACAUUCCGAAAGGAAUGCUAAUACCGCAUACGCCCUACGGGGGAAAGCAGGGGAUCUUCGGACCUUGCGCUAAUAGAUGAGCCUAAGUCGGAUUAGCUAGUUGGUGGGGUAAAGGCCUACCAAGGCGACGAUCUGUAGCGGGUCUGAGAGGAUGAUCCGCCACACUGGGACUGAGACACGGCCCAGACUCCUACGGGAGGCAGCAGUGGGGAAUAUUGGACAAUGGGGGGAACCCUGAUCCAGCCAUGCCGCGUGUGUGAAGAAGGCCUUUUGGUUGUAAAGCACUUUAAGCGAGGAGGAGGCUCCUUUAGUUAAUACCUAAAGAGAGUGGACGUUACUCGCAGAAUAAGCACCGGCUAACUCUGUGCCAGCAGCCGCGGUAAUACAGAGGGUGCGAGCGUUAAUCGGAUUUACUGGGCGUAAAGCGUGCGUAGGCGGCUUUUUAAGUCGGAUGUGAAAUCCCUGAGCUUAACUUAGGAAUUGCAUUCGAUACUGGAAAGCUAGAGUAUGGGAGAGGAUGGUAGAAUUCCAGGUGUAGCGGUGAAAUGCGUAGAGAUCUGGAGGAAUACCGAUGGCGAAGGCAGCCAUCUGGCCUAAUACUGACGCUGAGGUACGAAAGCAUGGGGAGCAAACAGGAUUAGAUACCCUGGUAGUCCAUGCCGUAAACGAUGUCUACUAGCCGUUGGGGCCUUUGAGGCUUUAG